rnacentral:tRNA from 1 species
GUGGGUGUAGCUCAGAGGUAGAGCACAUGCUUAGCAUGCAUGAGGUCCUGGGUUCAAUCCCCAGUACUUCCA